rnacentral:lncRNA from 10 species
UUUCUCCAUUGCUAUCUUUUUGCUGUGACAUAUUUAGACGAUUCCUUCAGUUCCCCACAAUGUUUUCCAGUGGGUAUCAAGCUAUUUUCUAAUUUCACUAAGCCCAACUGUACUUGAUGGAAAUUCUCUGGACACUUUAGGAAUUCUAAAGAAAUCAAUGGUUAGCAGGCCCAUGAAUAAUCUUUGGGGCAUAAUGAAGACUCUGAUGGAAAAGAGGUUGUCAAGAAAGUUCUAGAGGAGGACUUUGGCCACAGCGAUCUUGGGGAACAAAUGUGCUUCGGGUGUGAGGAGAGACUUGCUUAAUCAGAAGACUUUCCAGCUUCACUGCUCUGCAAGAAUGUGGACAGGACGGAGGCCCACCUUCCAGAAGAAAACAGUAAGAUCCGAGGUUUACGUUUAUCCCUCAUGCUUGAACUUUGUCUCCGACAUGCAGCAGUAGCCAAAGACAAGACCUCAGAGCAAAUGCACUGGAAACCCCGUCCCCAGGAUAAUCCCCUUUGAGGACUCGGCUCACAAAUCCGUUCGUUAUUAAUACACAUAUGCAUAACUGUAUCCUUCUGUGUCCUGAAGGCUUUUGUCCUGAUUCUCCACAGAGGCGGAGCCAGUACCGCUCCUCAUUUGCGGAUGAACACCUGCAGAGCACAAAGCCUCUGCACUCGUGGGGGCUGCAGACUGGGAGCUGCUCCUCGGCCCUAGACAGAAUGUUUCUUCAAUCCCUUUCCUGGUACCCACAGCCCGGCUGGAUAUAGUAGGCGAAUCCUCCCCAUCUAAAAUGGCUCUGAAAUCAGGCUGGGGAGAGAGAGUGCAAAGAAGGUCAGUACACUGAGCAAGUGCUCAGCUGGGACUGGGCGCCACCCUCCCAGACCUCACCUGCUUCACCUGCCACACGCAGCCACACGCAGCCACACAGCCCCUGAUGGAGCCCUGUGCUAGGGAGGCUGGGAGGGGUGAAGUGGCCGCGGCUGAGGUGUGAGAAAGGAUUGAGGAGGGUCCCCGUGGGCCUUAAGCCAGGCGUGCCAUCAUACCUGGCCAGCUAGAAGCUGAGAAGACCUUGGCCAGAGGUCUGCUGCUGUCACAGGACCUCAAACUGAGAAGCGUGGAGUCCAUCCUCCUAGGAACAGUAUAGCGCAUCCCCAGGCGAGGCUGCAGUGGGCCUUCUGUGCCCUAACUAAAUUGCCAGCCCUGGCUGUUAGAGCCUGGGGCGCUGGAUGUGUGGGGAG